rnacentral:rRNA from 1 species
GACAGAGGGUGCAAACGUUGUUCGGAAUUACUGGGCGUAAAGCGCGUGUAGGCUGCCCUGCAAGUCGGAUGUGAAAGCCCUGGGCUCAACCUAGGAAGUGCACUCGAAACUGCAGGGCUGGAGUCCUGGAGAGGAAGGCGGAAUUCUCGGUGUAGAGGUGAAAUUCGUAGAUAUCGAGAGGAACACUGGUGGCGAAGGCGGCCUUCUGGACAGUGACUGACGCUGAGACGCGAAAGCGUGGGGAGCAAACAGG